GGGUUGUGAGGUUAAGCGACUAAGCGUACACGGUGGAUGCCCUGGCAGUCAGAGGCGAUGAAGGACGUGCUAAUCUGCGAUAAGCGUCGGUAAGGUGAUAUGAACCGUUAUAACCGGCGAUUUCCGAAUGGGGAAACCCAGUGUGAUUCGUCACACUAUCAUUAACUGAAUCCAUAGGUUAAUGAGGCGAACCGGGGGAACUGAAACAUCUAAGUACCCCGAGGAAAAGAAAUCAACCGAGAUUCCCCCAGUAGCGGCGAGCGAACGGGGAGCAGCCCAGAGCCUGAAUCAGUGUGUGUGUUAGUGGAAGCGUCUGGAAAGGCGCGCGAUACAGGGUGACAGCCCCGUACACAAAAAUGCACAUGCUGUGAGCUCGAUGAGUAGGGCGGGACACGUGGUAUCCUGUCUGAAUAUGGGGGGACCAUCCUCCAAGGCUAAAUACUCCUGACUGACCGAUAGUGAACCAGUACCGUGAGGGAAAGGCGAAAAGAACCCCGGCGAGGGGAGUGAAAAAGAACCUGAAACCGUGUACGUACAAGCAGUGGGAGCACGCUUAGGCGUGUGACUGCGUACCUUUUGUAUAAUGGGUCAGCGACUUAUAUUCUGUAGCAAGGUUAACCGAAUAGGGGAGCCGAAGGGAAACCGAGUCUUAACUGGGCGUUAAGUUGCAGGGUAUAGACCCGAAACCCGGUGAUCUAGCCAUGGGCAGGUUGAAGGUUGGGUAACACUAACUGGAGGACCGAACCGACUAAUGUUGAAAAAUUAGCGGAUGACUUGUGGCUGGGGGUGAAAGGCCAAUCAAACCGGGAGAUAGCUGGUUCUCCCCGAAAGCUAUUUAGGUAGCGCCUCGUGAAUUCAUCUCCGGGGGUAGAGCACUGUUUCGGCAAGGGGGUCAUCCCGACUUACCAACCCGAUGCAAACUGCGAAUACCGGAGAAUGUUAUCACGGGAGACACACGGCGGGUGCUAACGUCCGUCGUGAAGAGGGAAACAACCCAGACCGCCAGCUAAGGUCCCAAAGUCAUGGUUAAGUGGGAAACGAUGUGGGAAGGCCCAGACAGCCAGGAUGUUGGCUUAGAAGCAGCCAUCAUUUAAAGAAAGCGUAAUAGCUCACUGGUCGAGUCGGCCUGCGCGGAAGAUGUAACGGGGCUAAACCAUGCACCGAAGCUGCGGCAGCGACACUAUGUGUUGUUGGGUAGGGGAGCGUUCUGUAAGCCUGCGAAGGUGUGCUGUGAGGCAUGCUGGAGGUAUCAGAAGUGCGAAUGCUGACAUAAGUAACGAUAAAGCGGGUGAAAAGCCCGCUCGCCGGAAGACCAAGGGUUCCUGUCCAACGUUAAUCGGGGCAGGGUGAGUCGACCCCUAAGGCGAGGCCGAAAGGCGUAGUCGAUGGGAAACAGGUUAAUAUUCCUGUACUUGGUGUUACUGCGAAGGGGGGACGGAGAAGGCUAUGUUGGCCGGGCGACGGUUGUCCCGGUUUAAGCGUGUAGGCUGGUUUUCCAGGCAAAUCCGGAAAAUCAAGGCUGAGGCGUGAUGACGAGGCACUACGGUGCUGAAGCAACAAAUGCCCUGCUUCCAGGAAAAGCCUCUAAGCAUCAGGUAACAUCAAAUCGUACCCCAAACCGACACAGGUGGUCAGGUAGAGAAUACCAAGGCGCUUGAGAGAACUCGGGUGAAGGAACUAGGCAAAAUGGUGCCGUAACUUCGGGAGAAGGCACGCUGAUAUGUAGGUGAAGUCCCUCGCGGAUGGAGCUGAAAUCAGUCGAAGAUACCAGCUGGCUGCAACUGUUUAUUAAAAACACAGCACUGUGCAAACACGAAAGUGGACGUAUACGGUGUGACGCCUGCCCGGUGCCGGAAGGUUAAUUGAUGGGGUCAGCGCAAGCGAAGCUCUUGAUCGAAGCCCCGGUAAACGGCGGCCGUAACUAUAACGGUCCUAAGGUAGCGAAAUUCCUUGUCGGGUAAGUUCCGACCUGCACGAAUGGCGUAAUGAUGGCCAGGCUGUCUCCACCCGAGACUCAGUGAAAUUGAACUCGCUGUGAAGAUGCAGUGUACCCGCGGCAAGACGGAAAGACCCCGUGAACCUUUACUAUAGCUUGACACUGAACAUUGAGCCUUGAUGUGUAGGAUAGGUGGGAGGCUUUGAAGUGUGGACGCCAGUCUGCAUGGAGCCGGCCUUGAAAUACCACCCUUUAAUGUUUGAUGUUCUAACGUUGACCCGUGAUCCGGGUUGCGGACAGUGUCUGGUGGGUAGUUUGACUGGGGCGGUCUCCUCCUAAAGAGUAACGGAGGAGCACGAAGGUUGGCUAAUCCUGGUCGGACAUCAGGAGGUUAGUGCAAUGGCAUAAGCCAGCUUGACUGCGAGCGUGACGGCGCGAGCAGGUGCGAAAGCAGGUCAUAGUGAUCCGGUGGUUCUGAAUGGAAGGGCCAUCGCUCAACGGAUAAAAGGUACUCCGGGGAUAACAGGCUGAUACCGCCCAAGAGUUCAUAUCGACGGCGGUGUUUGGCACCUCGAUGUCGGCUCAUCACAUCCUGGGGCUGAAGUAGGUCCCAAGGGUAUGGCUGUUCGCCAUUUAAAGUGGUACGCGAGCUGGGUUUAGAACGUCGUGAGACAGUUCGGUCCCUAUCUGCCGUGGGCGCUGGAGAACUGAGGGGGGCUGCUCCUAGUACGAGAGGACCGGAGUGGACGCAUCACUGGUGUUCGGGUUGUCAUGCCAAUGGCACUGCCCGGUAGCUAAAUGCGGAAGAGAUAAGUGCUGAAAGCAUCUAAGCACGAAACUUGCCCCGAGAUGAGUUCUCCCUGACUCCUUGAGAGUCCUGAAGGAACGUUGAAGACGACGACGUUGAUAGGCCGGGUGUGUAAGCGCAGCGAUGCGUUGAGCUAACCGGUACUAAUGAACCGUGAGGCUUAACCUUACAACGCCGAAGGUGUUU
rnacentral:rRNA from 1 species